AUGUGUAUAUAACCACCUGGGGACCCCGUGAAACUGCAGAUCCUAAUUCAGUACAUUCAGGGUGGGGCCCAAGAUUCUGCAUUUGUAGCGAGCUCCCAGGUGAUACUGAG
rnacentral:miRNA from 1 species